rnacentral:misc_RNA from 1 species
AACGCACAUUGCACCCUCUGGUAUUCUGGGGGGUAUGCCUGUUCGAGCGUCAUUGCAACCUUCAAGCACUGCUUGGUGUUGGAUGUCACUGUUGUUAGUGCAUCUCAAAGUCAUUAGUGGCAACUUUCAGCUUCUGGUGUAGUAAAUUUCUUGCCAUGGAGUUGAUAUCUGACUGCUAGAACCCCUAAUGUAUCAAAGGUUGACCUCGGAUCAGGUAGGGAUACCCGCUGAACUUAA